AUGGACAGCUCAGGUGGGUUCAGAGUGGCUCAACUAUGAAGGGAUGCCUAGUUACUGAGAAGCUUAUUAUGGAGCUCAGAGAAGUAGUCAGGGCCGACUCUUAGAAAUUGCAGCUCUCCUGUUUACCUGUAAUCAUUUCAGUUGGAAUUACAAAGCAGGUCAGCUAAAAAGAGUCAGCCUGUGAAGCAUUGUGUUUAACUUGGAUUCACCUGGAGAGAUAGAAGUGGAUUCUGUGAUGUCUUCAAUAAAUCCAAAUACUUCUGGUAUAUUACUCGAGGGGUUUUUAAAUACUGUCAGGAAAAAGAAGGAAGCUCAGCGAUAUCAGAAUGAAGUAAGACACAUCUUCACAGCCUUUGACACGUACUAUCGUGGAUUUUUAACUUUGGAAGAUUUCAAAAAAGCAUUUAGGCAGGUGGCUCCCAAAUUACCGGAAAGGACUGUUCUUGAAGUAUUCAGGGAAGUAGAUCGAGACUCAGAUGGUCAUGUCAGCUUUAGAGACUUUGAAUAUGCUCUGAACUAUGGACAGAAGGAAGCCUAACUAUUGUGAACUACUUUUGGUAACUCUGGGGAGAUCAAUAGAUUGUAAUGUCAGCAGACUCUACUCUACUAAUGAUGUCAUGCUAU
rnacentral:sRNA from 1 species